rnacentral:piRNA from 1 species
UGGUACUAUUUUGCCAGAGAUGUCAUAACU